CGGAGCUGUGGCACCACAGGUUGUGCCAUGUCAUGUACAGUCCUAUCAAGCACAGCCUGCAGGGAGUGAGUACAGGGCCAGCACAGUUCCUGGUUGGUAUCAUUUGGUCUCUCCCCAAUUACAUCUACCGGUAACUGGGCCACCAGAGCAGGAAGACAGGGCAUGUUGCAAGUCCCACAACAGGUUCAGUAAGCAGAACUGCAGCUGGGAGUGAAAAAGAAUAAAAUAGGCAGCCUGCAAGAUACAAACCAUUUCUGUUACAGAAUAGAUGUGUGAAAACAAUGUGAUUGUGGCAAACCACAUUAUCUUGCCAGUUGAACUCAGGAUACACCAGUCCCACAUAGGGUAAGCAUGCAACUCACAAUGGCUUCAAAAACAGUAAAUACCAAGCAUCAUGCAAAAGACACCUGACCACAGCUGUGUUGUUUUUGUACCUUGAUUUGGUAUCUAUAUGUCCUCAAAAAAACACAGACCAUGGUUUUCAGUGACUCCAGUCUGUCCUCCUCUGAUUUGCAAAGUGGGCUAACCAAGUGAUGUAUAUAUUAAUAAAUACGCAUCACUUGACAAACAAAUAAAGGAAAUACUGCUUGGCGGUUAUGGAAAAGACAAAAGGGGGAAUCCAUUUUUAAAUGUGUGGGUGUGCCUCCGAGGCACAAAGGGAGGGUUUAGCAAACACCAGCAUGAUAUCACAAAGUUCAUCAAUUACAUACAGAGGUUUUUCCAUAUGAGUGGUUCUUUUUGCAGAAAACAAGAAAGAAUGCACCUGUGAGCCCGCAGCACUAACCUCUACUUUCAUUCCCUGCUCCUGAAUUACUCACAAAUCUCCCCGGUACCUACACAGGUCUGUGAGUCACUAAAGAAGCUAAUCUGAAUUUGAGUAUGAAAGAGGCUACUAUGUGUUACACCAUACCAGUGUUUCCCAA